AGGACGAACGCUGGCGGCGUGCUUAACACAUGCAAGUCACGGGGGCCCGUAGCAAUACGGGCAACCGGCGAACGGGUGCGUAACACGUGAGCAAUCUGCCGAUCUCUGGGGGAUAGCCAGCCUAACGGCUGGGUAAUACCGCAUACGCUCGUUGGGGGGAGUCCCCUGAUGAGGAAACCUCUGGGGGAGAUCGAGGAGCUCGCGACCUAUCAGCUAGUUGGCGGGGUAACGGCCCACCAAGGCAGCGACGGGUAGCUGGUCUGAGAGGAUGGCCAGCCACAUUGGGACUGCGACACGGCCCAGACUCCUACGGGAGGCAGCAGUGGGGAAUAUUGCGCAAUGGACGAAAGUCUGACGCAGCGACGCCGCGUGUGGGAUGAAGCCUUUCGGGGUGUAAACCACUGUUGCCCGGGACGAAACUCCUCUUUCGAGAGGAUUGACGGUACCGGGUGAGGAAGCACCGGCUAACUCUGCGCCAGCAGCCGCGGU
rnacentral:rRNA from 1 species